rnacentral:rRNA from 1 species
UGCCUACAAGUAGUUAGAGCCCGUUAAUGGGUGAUAGCGUGCCUUUUGUAGAAUGAACCGGCGAGUUACGAUUUGUUGCAAGGUUAAGCGGAAAAAGCGGAGCCGUAGCGAAAGCGAGUCUGAAUAGGGCGCAUAAGUAACAGGUCGUAGACCCGAAACCAGGUGAUCUACCCAUGUCCAGGAUGAAGGUAAGGUAAUACUUACUGGAGGUCCGAACCCACGCACGUUGAAAAGUGCGGGGAUGAGGUGUGGGUAGCGGAGAAAUUCCAAUCGAACUUGGAGAUAGCUGGUUCUCUCCGAAAUAGCUUUAGGGCUAGCCUCGAGGUAAAGAGUCAUGGAGGUAGAGCACUGUUUGGACUAGGGGCCCUUCUCGGGUUACCGAAUUCAGAUAAACUCCGAAUGCCAUGUACUUAUACUCGGGAGUCAGACUGCGAGUGAUAAGAUCCGUAGUCGAAAGGGAAACAGCCCAGACCACCAGUUAAGGUCCCCAAAUAUAUGUUAAGUGGAAAAGGAUGUGGGGUUGCUUAGACAACCAGGAUGUUGGCUUAGAAGCAGCCACCAUUGAAAGAGUGCGUAAUAGCUCACUGGUCGAGUGACCCCGCGCCGAAAAUGUACCGGGGCUAAACAUAUUACCGAAACUGUGGAUGAACCUCUUUAGAGGUUCGUGGUAGGAGAGCGUUCUAAGGGCGGUGAAGUCAGACCGGAAGGACUGGUGGAGCGCUUAGAAGUGAGAAUGCCGGUAUGAGUAGCGAAAGAAGGGUGAGAAUCCCUUCCACCGAAUAUCUAAGGUUUCCUGAGGAAGGCUCGUCCGCUCAGGGUUAGUCGGGACCUAAGCCGAGGCCGAUAGGCGUAGGCGAUGGACAACAGGUAGAGAUUCCUGUACCAGUGCUAAUUGUUUAACCGAUGGGGUGACACAGAAGGAUAGGGAAUCGCACGAAUGGAAAUGUGCGUCCAAGCAGUGAGUGUGAGAAGUAGGCAAAUCCGCUUCUCGCGAAGCAUGAGCUGUGAUGGGGAAGGAAAUUAAGUACGGAAGUUCCUGAUUUCACGCUGUCAAGAAAAGCCUCUAGGAAGAGUAGUACUGCCCGUACCGCAAACCGACACAGGUAGAUGAGGAGAGAAUCCUAAGGUGAGCGAGAGAACUCUCGUUAAGGAACUCGGCAAAAUGACCCCGUAACUUCGGGAGAAGGGGUGCUCUAUUAGGGUGCAAGCCCGAGAGAGCCGCAGUGAAUAGGCCCAGGCGACUGUUUAGCAAAAACACAGGUCUCUGCAAAACCGUAAGGUGACGUAUAGGGGCUGACGCCUGCCCGGUGCUGGAAGGUUAAGAGGAGUGCUUAGCUUCGGCGAAGGUACGAAUUGAAGCCCCAGUAAACGGCGGCCGUAACUAUAACGGUCCUAAGGUAGCGAAAUUCCUUGUCGGGUAAGUUCCGACCCGCACGAAAGGCGCAACGAUCUGGGCACUGUCUCAACGAGAGACUCGGUGAAAUUAUAGUACCUGUGAAGAUGCAGGUUACCCGCGACAGGACGGAAAGACCCCGUGGAGCUUUACUGCAACCUGAUAUGGAAUGUUUGUACCGCUUGUACAGGAUAGGUAGGAGCCGAAGAGACGUGUGCGCUAGCAUACGAGGAGGCAAUGGUGGGAUACUACCCUGGCUGUAUGACCAUUCUAACCCGCCACGCUUAGCGCGUGGGGAGACAGUGUCAGGUGGGCAGUUUGACUGGGGCGGUCGCCUCCUAAAGAGUAACGGAGGCGCCCAAAGGUUCCCUCAGAAUGGAUGGAAAUCAUUCGCAGAGUGUAAAGGCACAAGGGAGCUUGACUGCGAGACUGACAAGUCGAGCAGGGACGAAAGUCGGGCUUAGUGAUCCGGUGGUUCCGCAUGGAAGGGCCAUCGCUCAACGGAUAAAAGCUACCCCGGGGAUAACAGGCUUAUCUCCCCCAAGAGUCCACAUCGACGGGGAGGUUUGGCACCUCGAUGUCGGCUCGUCGCAUCCUGGGGCUGUAGUCGGUCCCAAGGGUUGGGCUGUUCGCCCAUUAAAGCGGCACGCGAGCUGGGUUCAGAACGUCGUGAGACAGUUCGGUCCCUAUCCGUCGCGGGCGCAGGAAAUUUGAGAGGAGCUGUCCUUAGUACGAGAGGACCGGGAUGGACACACCGCUGGUGUACCAGUUGUUCCGCCAGGAGCAUCGCUGGGUAGCUAUGUGUGGCAGGGAUAAACGCUGAAAGCAUCUAAGCGUGAAGCCCCCCUCAAGAUGAGAUUUCCCAUUUCUUCGGAAAGUAAGAUCCCUGAAAGAUGAUCAGGUAGAUAGGUUUGGAGUGGAAGUGUAGCGAUACAUGGAGCGGACAAAUACUAAUCGAUCGAGGACUUAACCAAAA